AUUGAACGCUGGCGGCAUGCCUUACACAUGCAAGUCGAACGGUAACAGGUCUUCGGAUGCUGACGAGUGGCGAACGGGUGAGUAAUACAUCGGAACGUGCCUAGUAGUGGGGGAUAACUACUCGAAAGAGUGGCUAAUACCGCAUGAGAUCUACGGAUGAAAGCAGGGGAUCGCAAGACCUUGUGCUACUAGAGCGGCCGAUGGCAGAUUAGGUAGUUGGUGGGAUAAAAGCUUACCAAGCCGACGAUCUGUAGCUGGUCUGAGAGGACGAUCAGCCACACUGGGACUGAGACACGGCCCAGACUCCUACGGGAGGCAGCAGUGGGGAAUUUUGGACAAUGGGCGCAAGCCUGAUCCAGCAAUGCCGCGUGCAGGAUGAAGGCCUUCGGGUUGUAAAGGACUUUUGUCCGGGAGCAAAUGCUGGUGGCUAACAUCCACCGGAGCUGAGAGUACCGGAAGAAUAAGCACCGGCUAACUACGUGCCAGCCGCCGCAGUAACAC
rnacentral:rRNA from 1 species